rnacentral:rRNA from 1 species
AUUGAACGCUGGCGGCAUGCCUUACACAUGCAAGUCGAACGGCAGCACGGGUGCUUGCACCUGUUGGCGAGUGGCGAACGGGUGAGUAAUACAUCGGAACAUGUCCUGUAGUGGGGGAUAGCCCGGCGAAAGCCGGAUUAAUACCGCAUACGAUCUACGGAUGAAAGCGGGGAACCUUCGGGCCUCGCGCUAUCGGGUUGGCCGAUGGCUGAUUAGCUAGUUGGUGGGGUAAAGGCCUACCAAGGCGACGAUCAGUAGCUGGUCUGAGAGGACGACCAGCCACACUGGGACUGAGACACGGCCCAGACUCCUACGGGAGGCAGCAGUGGGGAAUUUUGGACAAUGGGCGAAAGCCUGAUCCAGCAAUGCCGCGUGUGUGAAGAAGGCCUUCGGGUUGUAAAGCACUUUUGUCCGGAAAGAAAUCCUUGGCCCUAAUACGGUCGGGGGAUGACGGUACCGGAAGAAUAAGCACCGGCUAACUACGUG